GAUGAACGCUGGCGGCGUGCCUAAUACAUGCAAGUCGAGCGAACAGACGAGGAGCUUGCUCCUCUGACGUUAGCGGCGGACGGGUGUGUAACACGUGGAUAACCUACCUAUAAGACUGGGAUAACUUCGGGAAACCGGAGCUAAUACCGGAUAAUAUAUUGAACCGCAUGGUUCAAUAGUGAAAGACGGUUUUGCUGUCACUUAUAGAUGGAUCCGCGCCGCAUUAGCUAGUUGGUAAGGUAACGGCUUACCAAGGCAACGAUGCGUAGCCGACCUGAGAGGGUGAUCGGCCACACUGGAACUGAGACACGGUCCAGACUCCUACGGGAGGCAGCAGUAGGGAAUCUUCCGCAAUGGGCGAAAGCCUGACGGAGCAACGCCGCGUGAGUGAUGAGGGUCUUCGGAUCGUAAAACUCUGUUAUUAGGGAAGAACAAAUGUGUAAGUAACUAUGCACGUCUUGACGGUACCUAAUCAGAAAGCCACGGCUAACUACGUG
rnacentral:rRNA from 1 species